UUGUCUGGAAGCCACAGCUAUGCCUUUUAAUUAUGGAAAACAAUGGUUUUAAAAUGACAUUUAUCUUCGGUUACAUCUAACUUCAUUUUUCAGUCGUGUGAACUAUAAAGGAAUUUGUACAGUGACAACAUGCUACCAAUCAAUCCAAACCAUAUACUGAGACGGCAAUCAUUUUCCCUUUAGUGUUUAAUUCAUCAUUAAAAAUAGAGUGACCAGAGGAGACUUCAGCACAAAUGUUCUCCUAGGAGGCCUCUGGGUGUGUGUGUGUCUGCUUGUACACAUCUGUGUGUGUACACAUUUGUUCCUGUUUUUGCUACAUAUCAUAUUGUCCAACGUUGGGACAAUCAAGUUUUUAUGAAGAGGAAUGUGUACUUCUGGUGUACCUGCACUCCAUUCUACGAGACAGAGAGGGAUCAGGGACUGGACAGGCCAGCAGUGAGAGACCAGCAUGAUGACUAACUCCAUCCACAGCUACUGUUGUUAUUGUUUCAGUUGGACUAACUCCAUCCACAGCUACUGUUGUUAUUGUUGUUAUUGAGUCAGUUGGACUAACUCCAUCCACAGCUACUGUUGUUAUUGUUGUUGUUGAGUCAGUUGGACUAACUCCAUCCACAGCUACUGUUGAUAUUGUUGUUGUUGAGUCAGUUGGACUAACUCCAUCCACAGCUACUGUUGAUAUUGUUGUUGUUGAGUCAGUUGGACUAACUCCAUCCACAGCUACUGUUGAUAUUGUUGUUGUUGAGUCAGUUGGACUAGCUCCAUCCACAGCUACUGUUGUUAUUGUUGCCAGUUGGACUAGAUCCAUCCACAGCUACUGUUGUUAUUGUUGUUGUUGAGUCAGUUGGACAAGCUCCAUCCACAGCUACUGUUGAUAUUGUUGUUGUUGAGUCAGUUGGACUAACUCCAUCCACAGCUACUGUUGAUAUUGUUGUUGUUGAGUCAGUUGGACUAACUCCAUCCACAGCUACUGUUGAUGUUGUUGUUGAGUCAGUUGGACUAACUCCAUCCACAGCUACUGUUGAUAUUGUUGUUAUUGUUUCAGUUGGACUAACUCCAUCCACAGCUACUGUUGAUAUUGUUGUUAUUGAGUCAGUUGGACUAACUCCAUCCACAGCUACUGUUGAUGUUGUUGUUGUCAGUUGGACUAACUCCAUCCACAGCUACUGUUGAUAUUGUUGUUAUUGUUGUCAGUUGGACUAACUCCAUCCACAGCUACUGUUGAUAUUGAGUCAGUUGGACUAACUCCAUCCACAGCUACUGUUGAUAUUGAGUCAGUUGGACUAACUCCAUCCACAGCUACUGUUGAUAUUGAGUCAGUUGGACUAACUCCAUCCACAGCUACUGUUGUUAUUGAGUCAGUUGGACUAACUCCAUCCACAGCUACUGUUGUUAUUGUUGAGUCAGUUGGACUAACUCCAUCCACAGCUACUGUUGUUAUUGAGUCAGUUGGACUAGCUCCAUCCACAGCUACUGUUGAUAUUGUUGUUAUUGAGUCAGUUGGACUAACUCCAUCCACAGCUACUGUUGUUAUUGUUGAGUCAGUUGGACUAGCUCCAUCCACAGCCACUGCUGUUAUUGUUGUUGUUGAGUCAGUUGGACUAACUCCAUCCACAGCUACUGUUGAUAUUGUUGUUGUUGAGUCAGUUGGACUAACUCCAUCCACAGCUACUGUUGAUAUUGUUGUUGUUGAGUCAGUUGGACUAACUCCCUCCACAGCUACUGUUGUUAUUGUUGUCAGUUUGACUAACUCCAGCCACAACUACUGUUGUUAUUGAGUCAGUUGGACUAGCUCCAUCCACAGCUACUGUUGAUAUUGUUGUUUCAGUUGGACUAACUCCAUCCACAGCUACUGUUGUUAUUGUUGUCAGUUUGACUAACUCCAUCCACAACUACUGUUGUUAUUGAGUCAGUUGGACUAGCUCCAUCCACAGCUACUGUUGUUAUUGUUGUUGUUGAGUCAGUUGGACUAACUCCAUCCACAGCAACUGUUGAUAUUGUUGUUGUUGAGUCAGUUGGACUAGCUCCAUCCACAGCUACUGUUGAUAUUGUUGUUGUUGAGUCAGUUGGACUAGCUCCAUCCACAGCUACUGUUGAUAUUGUUGUUAUUGUUGUCAGUUGGACUAGCUCCAUCCACAGCUACUGUUGAUAUUGUUGUUAUUGUUGUCAGUUGGACUAGCUCCAUCCACAGCUACUGUUGUUAUUGUUGUCAGUUGGACUAGCUCCAUCCACAGCUACUGUUGAUAUUGUUGUUGUUGAGUCAGUUGGACUAACUCCAUCCACAGCUACUGUUGAUAUUGUUGAGUCAGUUGGACUAACUCCAUCCACAGCUACUGUUGAUAUUGUUGUUAUUGAGUCAGUUGGACUAACUCCAUCCACAGCUACUGUUGAUAUUGUUGUUGUUGAGUCAGUUGGACUAGCUCCAUCCACAGCUACUGUUGAUAUUGUUGUUAUUGAGUCAGUUGGACUAACUCCAUCCACAGCUACUGUUGAUAUUGUUGUUGUUGAGUCAGUUGGACUAACUCCAUCCACAGCUACUGUUGUUAUUGUUGUUGUUGAGUCAGUUGGACUAACUCCAUCCACAGCUACUGUUGAUAUUGUUGUUGUUGAGUCAGUUGGACUAGCUCCAUCCACAGCUACUGUUGAUAUUGUUGUUGUUGAGUCAGUUGGACUAGCUCCAUCCACAGCUACUGUUGAUAUUGUUGUUGUUGAGUCAGUUGGACUAGCUCCAUCCACAGCUACUGUUGUUAUUGUUGAGUCAGUUGGACUAACUCCAUCCACAGCUACUGUUGUUAUUGAGUCAUCAGUUGGACUAGCUCCAUCCACAGCUACUGUUGAUAUUGUUGAGUCAGUUGGACUAACUCCAUCCACAGCUACUGUUGAUAUUGUUGUUGUUGAGUCAGUUGGACUAACUCCAUCCACAGCUACUGUUGAUAUUGUUGUUGUUGAGUCAGUUGGACUAGCUCCAUCCACAGCUACUGUUGUUAUUGUUGUUGUUGAGUCAGUUGGACUAGCUCCAUCCACAGCUACUGUUGAUAUUGUUGUUGUUGAGUCAGUUGGACUAGCUCCAUCCACAGCUACUGUUGUUAUUGUUGAGUCAGUUGGACUAGCUCCAUCCACAGCUACUGUUGUUGUUGUUGUUGAGUCAGUUGGACUAACUCCAUCCACAGCUACUGUUGUUGUUGUUGAGUCAGUUGGACUAACUCCAUCCACAGCUACUGUUGUUAUUGAGUCAGUUGGACUAGCUCCAUCCACAGCUACUGUUGAUAUUGUUGUUGUUGAGUCAGUUGGACUAACUCCAUCCACAGCUACUGUUGAUAUUGUUGUUGUUGAGUCAGUUGGACUAGCUCCAUCCACAGCUACUGUUGUUGUUGUUGAGUCAGUUGGACUAGCUCCAUCCACAGCUACUGUUGAUAUUGUUGUUGUUGAGUCAGUUGGACUAGCUCCAUCCACAGCUACUGUUGAUAUUGUUGUUAUUGUUGUCAGUUGGACUAGCUCCAUCCACAGCUACUGUUGUUAUUGUUGUCAGUUGGACUAGCUCCAUCCACAGCUACUGUUGAUAUUGUUGUUGUUGAGUCAGUUGGACUAACUCCAUCCACAGCUACUGUUGAUAUUGUUGUUAUUGUUGUCAGUUGGACUAGCUCCAUCCACAGCUACUGUUGUUAUUGUUGUUAUUGAGUCAGUUGGACUAACUCCAUCCACAGCUACUGUUGAUAUUGUUGUUGUUGAGUCAGUUGGACUAGCUCCAUCCACAGCUACUGUUGAUAUUGUUGUUAUUGAGUCAGUUGGACUAACUCCAUCCACAGCUACUGUUGAUAUUGUUGUUGUUGAGUCAGUUGGACUAACUCCAUCCACAGCUACUGUUAUUGUUGUCAGUUGGACUAGCUCCAUCCACAGCUACUGCUGUUAUUGUUGUUGUUGAGUCAGUUGGACUAACUCCAUCCACAGCUACUGUUGAUAUUGUUGUUAUUGAGUCAGUUGGACUAACUCCAUCCACAGCUACUGUUGAUAUUGUUGUUGUUGAGUCAGUUGGACUAACUCCAUCCACAGCUACUGUUGUUAUUGUUGUUGUUGAGUCAGUUGGACUAGCUCCAUCCACAGCUACUGUUGUUAUUGUUGUUGUUGAGUCAGUUGGACUAGCUCCAUCCACAGCUACUGUUGAUAUUGUUGUUGUUGAGUCAGUUGGACUAGCUCCAUCCACAGCUACUGUUGUUAUUGUUGUCAGUUGGACUAGCUCCAUCCACAGCUACUGUUGAUAUUGUUGUUAUUGAGUCAGUUGGACUAACUCCAGCUACUGUUGUUAUUGUUAAGUCUUGUCUCUACGCUGCCAGCAUCUCUCUGUUCUCCUUGUUCCUUGCUGGUCUUCUCUCUUGAGAACAAAAAAACAUGGUCAGGGACUGUAUCUACAAAGUGUCUCAGAGUAAGAGUGCUGAUCUAGGAUCAGGUCCCUCUGUUCAUAUAAUCCUAUUAAUAAAUGACGUAAAAAGGCCAAACUGUUCCUAGAUCAGCUUUUACUGUG
rnacentral:lncRNA from 1 species